rnacentral:rRNA from 1 species
UGCAAGCGUUAAUCGGAAUACUGGGCGUAAAGCGUGCGUAGGCGGUUGUUUAAGUCAGAUGUGAAAGCCCCGGGCUUAACCUGGGAACUGCAUUUGAUACUGGGCAACUAGAGUUGAGUAGAGGGGAGUGGAAUUUCAGGUGUAGCGGUGAAAUGCGUAGAGAUCUGAAGGAACACCAGUGGCGAAGGCGGCUCCCUGGACUCAAACUGACGCUGAGGUACGAAAGCGUGGGUAGCAAACAGGAUUAGAUACCCUGGUAGUCCACGCCGUAAACGAUGUCAACUAACUGUUGGGUUCUUUAAGAACUUAGUAGUGGAGCUAACGUAUUAAGUUGACCGCCUGGGGAGUACGGCCGCAAGGCUAAAACUCAAAUGAAUUGACGGGGGCCCGCACAAGCGGUGGAGCAUGUGGUCUAAUUCGAUGCAACGCGAAGAACCUUACCUACCCUUGACAUCCUCGGAACUUGUCAGAGAUGACUUGGUGCCUUCGGGAACCGAGAGACAGGUGCUGCAUGGCUGUCGUCAGCUCGUGUUGUGAAAUGUUGGGUUAAGUCCCGUAACGAGCGCAACCCUUAUCUUUAGUUGCCAGCGAGUAAUGUCGGGAACUCUAGGGAGACUGCCGGUGAUAAACCGGAGGAAGGUGGGGACGACGUCAAGUCAUCAUGGCCCUUAUGGGUAGGGCUACACACGUGCUACAAUGGCCGGUACAGAGGGCAGCGAAACCGUGAGGUCAAGCAAAUCCCACAAAGCCGGUCCCAGUCCGGAUUGCAGUCUGCAACUCGACUGCAUGAAGUCGGAAUCGCUAGUAAUCGCGGAUCAGAAUGCCGCGGUGAUACGUUCCCGGGCU